rnacentral:tRNA from 1 species
GGAGCUGUGGCAUAGUGGGUAAAGCCACUGCCUUCGGUGCCAGCAUCCCAUUUAGACACUGGUUCAAGUCCUGGCUGCUCCA